rnacentral:rRNA from 2 species
GCUCUAGACUAGUGGAUCCCCCGGGCUGCAGCCCAAUGUGGAAUUCGCCCUUUUCCGGUUGAUCCUGCCGGACCUGACUGCUAUCGGAAUGAUACUAAGCCAUGCGAGUCAUUGUAGCAAUACAAGGCAGACGGCUCAGUAACGCGUAGUCAAUCUACCCUGUGGACGGGAAUAACCUCGGGAAACUGAGAAUAAUACCCGAUAGAACAUUAUGCCUGGAAUGGUUUAUGUUUCAAAUGAUUUAUCGCCAUAGGAUGGGACUGCGGCCUAUCAGUUUGUUGGUGAGGUAAUGGCCCACCAAGACUAUUACAGGUACGGGCUCUGAGAGGAGUAGCCCGGAGAUGGGUACUGAGACACGGACCCAGGCCCUAUGGGGCGCAGCAGGCGAGAAAACUUUGCAAUGUGCGAAAGCACGACAAGGUUAAUCCGAGUGGUUUCUGCUAAAGAAACCUUUUGCCAGUCCUAGAAACACUGGUGAAUAAGGGGUGGGCAAGUUCUGGUGUCAGCCGCCGCGGUAAAACCAGCACCUCAAGUGGUCAGGAUGAUUAUUGGGCCUAAAGCAUCCGUAGCUCGUUUUGUAAGUUUUCGGUUAAAUCCAUGCGCUCAACGUAUGGGCUGCCGGGAAUACUGCAUAACUAGGAAGUGGGAGAGGUAGACGGUACUCGGUAGGAAGGGGUAAAAUCCUUUGAUCUAUUGAUGACCACCUGUGGCGAAGGCGGUCUACCAGAACACGUUCGACGGUGAGGGAUGAAAGCUGGGGGAGCAAACCGGAUUAGAUACCCGGGUAGUCCCAGCUGUAAACUAUGCAAACUCAGUGAUGCAUUGGCUUGUGGCCAAUGCAGUGCUGCAGGGAAGCCGUUAAGUUUGCCGCCUGGGAAGUACGUACGCAAGUAUGAAACUUAAAGGAAUUGGCGGGGGGAGCACCACAAG